AUUGAACGCUGGCGGCAGGCUUAACACAUGCAAGUCGAGCGAGCGGCGGACGGGUGAGUAAUGUCUGGGAACCUGCCUGAUGGAGGGGGCUAACUACUGUAAACGGUAGCUAAUACCGCAUACCAUCAGAUGUGCCCAUAUGGGAUUAGCUAGUAGGGGGGGUAAUGGCUCACCUAGGCGACGAUCCCUAGCUGGUCUGAGAGGAUGACCGGCCACACUGGAACUGAGACACGGUCCAGACUCCUACGGGAGGGAGCAGUGGGGAAUAUUGCACAAUGGGCGCAAGCCUGAUGCAGCCAUGCCGCGUGUGUGAAGAAGGCCUUCGGGUUGUAAAGCACUUUCAGCGAGGAGGCGUUACUCGAAGAAGAAGCACCGGCUAACUCCGUGCCAGCAGCCGCGGUAAUUC
rnacentral:rRNA from 1 species